rnacentral:rRNA from 1 species
AUUGAACGCUGGCGGCAUGCUUUACACAUGCAAGUCGAACGGUAACAGGUCUUCGGAUGCUGACGAGUGGCGAACGGGUGAGUAAUGCAUCGGAACGUGCCCAGUCGUGGGGGAUAACGCAGCGAAAGCUGUGCUAAUACCGCAUACGAUCUAUGGAUGAAAGCGGGGGACCGUAAGGCCUCGCGCGAUUGGAGCGGCCGAUGUCAGAUUAGGUAGUUGGUGGGGUAAAGGCUCACCAAGCCAACGAUCUGUAGCUGGUCUGAGAGGACGACCAGCCACACUGGGGCUGAGACACGGCCCAGACUCCUACGGGAGGCAGCAGUGGGGAAUUUUGGACAAUGGGCGCAAGCCUGAUCCAGCAAUGCCGCGUGCAGGAAGAAGGCCUUCGGGUUGUAAACUGCUUUUGUACGGAACGAAACGGUCCUGGUUAAUACCCGGGGCUAAUGACGGUACCGUAAGAAUAAGCACCGGCUAACUACGUGCCAGCCGCCGCAGUAAAAC